rnacentral:lncRNA from 1 species
GUGCGCGCGCGCGCGCUUGCGAGAACGCGCAAAGGCUUUCAGGACUAUUGCCUCAAAAGUAGACUCAGGUUCCUUAGCGGAAGGAAGGAAGGAAGGAAGGAAGAAAGGAAGGACAGAAGGAAGGAGUGAAGGCAGGCAGACACUGAGCAAAUCAUUUUUUUUCCAACAGGUUUCUAGAAAGGCUGCUCUGUCAAACUUCCCAAACCGGUAACUGUCAACGCUUGGAAGCCAGUUCUUUCUUUGUUAAGUUUCCCCAAAUUGUUCUUUUCAAACAGGGCAAAACCUGCACUGGGCAAAACCUCAGCUUGUGGCUGAGAAGGAUAUCCGCCACAGGGCUCCUGGCAAGGGUACAUUUCCCGGCGAGUGAAGAGAACCAAGGCUUGAUCAAAAAUUCGUGGUGUGUUUACAAGAAGAAAAAUAAGGGAUGAGGUGAAGCAAAUUCCACAAACAUCCCAGCAAUCAUGAGCAACUCCUUUUGAAUGGUGUCUACUGUGAUCUCUUAUAGCGUGAUGUGCACAUACAUACAGAAGAAUAAAUGCAUUGCACUUCACCCACUGUGUUCUCACACACAAAGGAAUGUUUUCCAUGUUGAAAAGAAAAACCCAGCCAAAACAACAAUAAAAAGAAUCAACACAAAAAUCCAAAAUCCAGGAGGCUCUAGUUUAUGGGAACAGGAAUGCAUUUAAUUAUUUCAAAGAUUGUUACCUUUGGGCUUGUGGGCAAACCUAGGGAUUGAAUACUGUCUACAAACAAGCAGCUUUCCAAUAAAGUGCAGUAUUAUUG